AGUCUUUUCUUCUUCUCUACUAUUUUUUGCCGGCAAAACAAAAAAAGGAAACUUUAGCCGGAAACGAGGGUUUUUUCCCCACUGAUCGAUUAAAAGCUUCAAUAAAUUCUUCUUUAUAAAUAUUUGUUUAUGAACGUUUUGUUAAAUUCGCUUUUAAAAAGUUUCUGUUUUUAGAGAUAUUAUAACAAGAACAAUCAUAAUUAUUGUAUAAAUUUGAAUUGUUUUGGUUUGAUCGGACGAUGGAGGAUUUUUCGAGCAGCGACGAGGAUUAUUACUAUUCGUCCGAUCGAGAUUCCCUUGACGGUUUCGAGAAUGACGAGUCCGAUUCUCAGUGGGUCACUUCCAAGAGUCCCACUACAAAGGUUAUUACAAAAGAAUCACUUUUAGCUGCACAGAGGGAGGAUUUAAGGAGAGUAAUGGACAUGUUAUCUAUAAGGGAACACCAUGCUCGAACUUUACUAAUCCAUUACCGAUGGGAUGUUGAGAAAUUGCUUGCCGUGCUCGUGGAGAAUGGAAAAUCGUACUUGUUCGCCUCGGCAGGUGUUUCUGUUGUUGAGGGUGAGCAUACAGGAACGUCUUUAUUGUCGUUGUCAUCUACAUCCAUGUGUGAGAUAUGCAUUGAGGAGUUACCGGUUGAUACGAUGACGAAAAUGGAAUGCGGGCAUGGGUUUUGCAAUGACUGUUGGACGGAACAUUUUGUUGUGAAAAUAAAUGAAGGACAAAGUAGGCGAAUUAGGUGCAUGGCGCACAAAUGCAAUGCUGUUUGUGAUGAAUCUGUUGUGAGAAAUCUAGUCAGUAAAAGGCAUCCCGAUUUAGCCGAGAAAUUUGAUCGAUUUCUUCUUGAGUCCUACAUAGAAGAUAAUAGGAUGGUUAAAUGGUGUCCUAGUACUCCACAUUGUGGAAAUGCAAUACGUGUCGAGGAUGAUGAAUUUUGUGAGGUAGAGUGUUCUUGUGGUCUGCAGUUUUGUUUUAGUUGCUUAUCCGAAGCACAUUCGCCAUGUUCAUGUAUGAUGUGGGAGCUUUGGACCAAGAAAUGUCGAGAUGAGUCGGAAACAGUAAAUUGGAUCACUGUUCAUACAAAGCCAUGUCCGCAGUGUCACAAACCCGUGGAGAAGAAUGGGGGUUGUAAUCUUGUGAGCUGUAUUUGCGGGCAAGCAUUUUGUUGGCUAUGUGGGGGAGCUACGGGGCGGGAUCACACUUGGUCAACAAUUGCAGGUCAUAGCUGUGGUCGCUACAAAGAAGAUCAAGCGAAAAAGACUGAACGAGCGAAGCGAGAUCUUUAUCGAUACAUGCACUAUCUCAACCGUUAUAAAGCUCAUACAGAUUCUUUUAAGCUCGAGAGUAAACUCAAGGAGACUAUUUUGGAGAAGAUAUCGAUUUCAGAAGAAAGGGAGUCAAUUCUUAGAGAUUUCAGUUGGGUAACUAACGGACUCAAUAGGCUUUUCAGAUCGAGACGGGUUCUUUCAUAUUCAUACCCAUUUGCAUUCUACAUGUUCGGAGAAGAAAUAUUCGUUGACGAGAUGACAAAUAAGGAAAGGGAAAUAAAACAGCAUUUAUUUGAGGAUCAACAGCAGCAACUCGAGGCAAAUGUCGAGAAACUCUCUAAGAUUUUAGAAGAGCCCUUUGAUCAAUACAGUGAUGAUAAAGUAACGGAGAUGAGAAUGCAAAUUAUCAAUCUCACCGUGAUCACUGAUACCCUUUGCAAGAAAAUGUAUGAAUGCAUCGAGAACGAUCUAUUGGGAUCUCUCCAAUGUAAUACACAUAACAUAGCUCCAUACAAAUCUAAGGGCAUCGAGAAAGCAUCCGAGCUUGCCGUUUGUUGGAACAGUAAACCGAGUACUACCGAGAAAUGUGUUGCAUCUGAUUCUGGCACUAGCGGUAAGCAGACUUUACAUUUUGGAGACCAACAUGCACUUUCACUCGCACAUACACAUAUAGUUUGAAGAUUACUAAAGCUCAAUACUGAGAAAUGUGUUCCAUCCGAUUCUGGCGCUAACGGCAAACGGGAUCGACCUUUUGGUUUUGGGAGUUUGGAAGACAGUGGUUGCCCGUCCCAGAGACGACCUAAAAAGGAGACGUAUGGCGGUGUAUUCUUCGAUAUAAGUAUGCCAGCUGAUGUUCUUCAUAGGAAUUGAUUUUUUUUUUCUUUUCCUGUUUUAUUUUUAGAUAAUGUACAGAUCUAACUGGAGACUAAUAUUUUGCUUAAUGGGAUUUGCCUGUUCAUA